GACGAACGCUGGCGGCGUGCUUAACACAUGCAAGUCGAACGGAAAGGCCCUGCUUUUGUGGGGUGCUCGAGUGGCGAACGGGUGAGUAACACGUGAGUAACCUGCCCUUGACUUUGGGAUAACUUCAGGAAACUGGGGCUAAUACCGGAUAGGAGCUCCUGCUGCAUGGUGGGGGUUGGAAAGUUUCGGCGGUUGGGGAUGGACUCGCGGCUUAUCAGCUUGUUGGUGGGGUAGUGGCUUACCAAGGCUUUGACGGGUAGCCGGCCUGAGAAGGGGACCGGCCACAUUGGGACUGAGAUACGGCCCAGACUCCUACGGGAGGCAGCAGUGGGGAAUAUUGCACAAUGGGCGGAAGCCUGAUGCAGCAACGCCGCGUGCGGGAUGACGGCCUUCGGGUUGUAAACCGCUUUCGCCUGUGACGAAGCGUGAGUGACGGUAAUGGGUAAAGAAGCACCGGCUAACUACGUG
rnacentral:rRNA from 1 species